UCCGGGGGGGACCCCCCAAUGGGGGAAGGGCAGAUUUUUUGGGCCGGUAACUGACCGCUGAGGAAGGAAAAGCAUGGGGAGCGAACCAGGAUUAGAUACCCUGGUAGUCCAUGCCGUAAACGUUGGGAACUAGGCGUAGGGUCCAUUCCACGGAUUCUGUGCCGCAGCUAACGCAUUAAGUUCCCCGCCUGGGGAGUACGGCCGCAAGGCUAAAACUCAAAGGAAUUGACGGGGGCCCGCACAAGCGGCGGAGCAUGCGGAUUAAUUCGAUGCAACGCGAAGAACCUUACCAAGGCUUGACAUAUACCGGAAAAGUUCAGAAAUGUUCUCCCCGCAAGGUCGGUAUACAGGUGGUGCAUGGUUGUCGUCAGCUCGUGUCGUGAGAUGUUGGGUUAAGUCCCGCAACGAGCGCAACCCUCGUUCUAUGUUGCCAGCACGUAAUGGUGGGAACUCAUAGGAGACUGCCGGGGUCAACUCGGAGGAAGGUGGGGAUGACGUCAAAUCAUCAUGCCCCUUAUGUCUUGGGCUUCACGCAUGCUACAAUGGCCGGUACAAAGGGCUGCAAUACCGUAAGGUGGAGCGAAUCCCAAAAAGCCGGUCUCAGUUCGGAUUGAGGUCUGCAACUCGACCUCAUGAAGUCGGAGUCGCUAGUAAUCGCAGAUCAGCAACGCUGCGGUGAAUACGUUCCCGGGCCUUGUACACACCGCCCGUCAAGUCAUGAAAGUCGGUAACACCCGAAGCCGUGGCCCAACCUUUGGAGGAGCCG
rnacentral:rRNA from 1 species